GUACCAUGGUGAAUAUACCGGUUCUCGUUAGAUCACCGAAGUUAAGCAUCAUUGGGCGCGGUCAGUACUUGGGUGGGUGACCACCUGGGAACACUGCGUGCCGUU
rnacentral:rRNA from 1 species